rnacentral:lncRNA from 1 species
AAUGCAUUUUAUCAUAGGGCCGGACAGCUACAUGCACAAGAUGCUACCUGCAGAGAUUGGUUUUUGCCCAGAUGUGCAGGAGAGAAGCACAGAGAGGAAGAAAUGCAUACAUGUGUGCAGGUUUUGGCGUGUGCACAAGAAGCCUGGAAGGAUUUUCUUUGGAUCUAGCGUCAAAAUGGAUUUCCAAGAGGAAGCUGUCUGAACACACACCUCUUCCCUGUGCUACAUACGGUCCCAUCUCUGGCAGCCAGGUUGUCAGGAAAGUGAUCAGCACUGGCUUCAACUCUGGCUAGAGCUCUUUGGCCAAUGUGAUGGGCAGAAAACUGGAAUGAGGACAGAAAAGCACCUCAGAGGUUUGAAGAGUCGAGUCUCUCACCACCUUGCGCUGAGACUUAUUUGAAUGCCUGUUUCAUAUGGAGUUUUUAAGUGUAACAGUUGUGAGUGAAAUUGCCGCUUUUAUUUUCAACACUCCGAGUUUGCUUCUGGAUGGAAGGGGAAGAUGGACUAGAGCUGAUGCCUCCUGCACCCUGGUGAAGAAAUGCACCCUGAGGCCAGAAAAUAGUACAAACCCAUCUGGCUGCAACAGCCCAGCAGCAUGAAGAUCAAAGUCACGAGUAGAGCCAGAGAGAAAUUUGCCCUGGGCCUAAUAUUCAUGAAGCCUUUCCAGUUCAGACUCGGUAUUAUUGCCAAGUCGGUGUGUUUGAUUUGCCUCUAUUUACACUAAAUAGAGCCAGCUCCGCUUGCUGGUUCCUGUAUCUUGGGCAAGCCGAGCUGGAGGCAGCCACGUGUCCUGGUGGUGGUCAUGCGGAUGGCUCUCCAGGCCAGGUCCUCCUCCAACAACGUUUACUAAACACCUUAUCUCCCUGAAAACACGUGACGUAAUGUUUAUGAAACAUCACCCUGUCCCUUCCACCAGGCGGUGGGGGAGCCGGGGGGCACUCCCUUACCUUCCUCGCUUCCCUCUGCCUUCUUCUGCUCCCCUCAUUUGGGUGAAAAAGUACGCUGGGUCUUCCCUCACUGCAGGCCUGAGCAGAGAGCAGCACCCUCCACGGGCCUUUCCAGGCCUUUCCAUUGGCGCCAUGUCUCCACUUACCAGGGCACAUUCACCGCCCCCGGAAGUGUUGUCGGCCUCAUUUUACACAGGAGGAAACAGGCUGAGAGCAGCAGCGGGUUGGUGAGAAAUCAGAAGCCAACACACUAGAAAAGUUGCAAGAGAUUCCUAGGGGAACCCACAAAGUCAGUUCCUUGCCAGAAACCUGCUCCUCCAGGUGAAUCCAGUGCAUCGGAUGGGCUCAGAAGCACAGGUGGCGCAGGCAGACCUCUACUGAGAAGAACAACAGUGGAAGGCAGAUGAAACUCACAUUUUGGAGUCUGAGAGCCAUGCGGGCCCACCCCAGUUACGUCUACCCCUGGUCGGUGACCAGAGAAUCCUUUCGCAGCAACAGCAGUGAUGUUUAUUUCACUGGUAUGUAUAAAGCGACUGAUUGAAAACAAGCUGUAUGCCCAACAACUUGGAACUGGUUAAAUGAUUUUUGGUUCAGCCGCACAGUGGAAUAUCAUGCGGCCAUUAAGAAUAAAUAAAAAAUCCUAUACUUUCCAUAUUCAACUUUAGACUGCAAACAACUGAAAAAACACCUUCAUAAUUAGGCUUCCUCAGAUUAGAACGUGAAGUCAAGUCAACGUGUGUCAGAAAGUUAACAACAGCUAACUGUUUGUUGUAGUGUUCUGAGUAACUUGUAUUAUUUUUCAGUUUUUUUCCCAUUCCUAAUGUGCAAAUGUACUAUUUUUAUUGUAAAAAAAAAUACACAUUUGUAAAGAGCAAUAACAUAAAUCUCUGCAUAGGCGAAUUGAAAGGAAAUCAGACAAAAUGAUACCUUUUGGUAGUGGAAUUCUAAAUCAUUUUUUUCUUCAUUAGAGUUUCUGAAUUUUCUGCAUUUGAUACGUUUACCUUUAUAAAGGGUCAAUCAUAUUUAAGAUGAUUUUUUAAAAGACAAGUAGACAGGGAAAGAGAGGUCUGCUGUUGCAAAACCGAAGCUGGAGGCUCUCCAAAGCCCACUUAUGUUAGUCAAUUGAUAUUUCAUGAAACUCUAGAAUGUGCAAAUCACUUUCCACAGGGAUUGGGGGGGUGAGAAAUACAGAGAUGAAGGAGAUGCAAACACUUUAAUCAAAGAAAUCCGUCCGGUUGGGAAGAGAAGGUUCUGCAUUAUAUAAGUUGCAAGGUCUUAUCCAAGAGGUUAGUCUGUCAAGAGUAAUAGCAAUAAUUACACAACAAUAUGUCAGAGUGGCUGGGAGCUCCAGCUUCAAAGCCACCUCGCCUGGGGGGAAACUCAUUUCCAUUUCUUAACCAUAUUGGGCCUGAGCCUCAGUUACCUACCUCUUCUGUAAAUGUAAACUACCUCUUGGGGUCCUUGUGAGGAUUAAAUGCAACUUGAGCCUAAGGGGCUGAGCUAGGUGCUUUGCAAAUAAUCCAACCUUAGCAUGAGGCACGUUAUCAUCAUUAUGGCUGUGGUGUUCGUGGUCACCUAUCUGCAAGUCACGCUUUCAUAGAUAUGGCUGAGCUGGGAUUUGAACCCACAUUGAUCUAAUUCCAAAGCCAAUGAUUCCACCCCAACCAGACACUGCAUUUACUCUCUAUGCCUAACUGAAAUUUGUUCUAAACCUCACCCUAAGGUCUUGCCAGAAAGAAAAGCUAAAUUUUCAUUAAAAGAUGAAAGGAGAAAUGAAUCUGUUUCAAAGGACAUGAGAAGAAGAAGGAAAUAUCCCUUCAUGAAGGAUUUUGCAACUUUGUCCAUGCUUCUGCGGGGUGUAAAAGUAAAAAUCCUAUACUUCCCAUAUUCAACGUUAGAUUUUAAACAACUGAACAAGCACUUUCACAAUUAGCCUUCCUCAGAUUGGAAUGCGAAGUCAAGCCAACGUGUACCUCUUACUGCAGAAGAUUUCUGCACUGUGAAUGUGAUAGGAUUUGCCUCCUUAACCAGAGGGUGCUGAUUUUUCCUGGCUGGAAGGUCAUGAAUAGAGGACAAAGCACAGGGAAGGGGCAGCAUGUGGGGAAGAGCCCCAAGGAUCUCAGUAUGAAAAUAAAGAGGUGUGAGCCAACUGCCCAUAGGUUUGGGCUAUGAGUCUGGGGAAACUGUUUCAAAAUCAAUGGAGGCCCAAAGGCAGAGGGAAAAUUCUGUGUAUGGACUUCCAUGUCAUUCAGAAAUGUUAACUCCUUGAAAAGAGUUAAUAUAUUUUUUUCUUUUUUAAACAUUUCAAUAGGUUUUUGGGGAACAGGUGGUGUUUGGUUCCGUGAAUAAGUUCUUUAGUGGUGAUUUCUGAGAUUUUGGUGCACCCAUCACCUGAGCAGUGUACAUUCUAUCCAUUGUGUAGUCUUUUAUCUUUCACUCCCCUCCCACUUAGAAUAAUGGUCUCCAAUUCCAUCCAGGUUUGCUGCGAAGGACAUUAUUUCAUUCCUUUUUACGGCUGAGUUGUAUUCCAUGGUGUAUAUAUAUAUACCACAAUUUCUUUAUCCACUCAUUGAUUGAUGGGUAUGCAGGCUGGUUCCAUACUUUUCCAAUUGCGAAUUGUGCUGCUAUAAACAUCCGUGUGCAAGUAUCUUUUUGGUAUAAUGAUAUGUUUUCCUCUGAGUGGAUACCCAGUAGUGGGAUUGCUAGAUCAAAUGGUAGUUCUACUUUUAGCUCUUUAAGGAAUCUCCACACUGUUUUCCAUAGUGGUUGUACUAGUUUACAUUUCCACCGGCAAUGUAAAAGUGUUUCUUCCUGUCCCUCUGGUCAUCUGUUUUUUUGAGGGAUCUACCUAAACUCAACCAUAACCCAUUCCAUCCACCUCAUCUUGCCUCAAGCUAAGAAAUAGGAGUGCGGAGAAGAAAACAGUACAGAUAAGAGUGCUAGAAGGUUGUGUGUUUGAAUAAGAAGGAACAUGAAUCAGGUUUCAAGUACAGUACCUGAGGCAGGUAUGAGGUAGUAGCUAAUGGGGUGAGGUAGGCAGAAAAGGCUUCUAAAGAAGCAGGCACUUGAGUUGGGUCUUCAAGGCCAUAGUGAGUGGUUUCCCGGUGGAUCUGAGAAAGGAAGGUGAGUUUAGAGAGAGGGAAGAGCCCGCAGUGAGGCAUGAAAAUGUACACUGUGCCUUCAGCGAGCUUGGUGGGUGGCAAUGUCUGGAUCCGAGUGUGUGUGGAGGAGACUUUGCACAAUAAGGCCACUAGGCAGCUAGGACGGCCCCCAGAGGGUUUUGGCUGACAAGCUGAGGGACAUGCUAUAAGGGUAGGGGCCAGGGGAAGAGAUGGCUCCCUGGCAGUGGGUCCCCUGUGUGCUCAGCAGCUCAUGGAUAACAGAGGAUAACAGGCCCAUACCUCCAUAUUGCCCAACAUGUUAUCACAUCUUCAGUUUGGAGAGAAGAAUUAAAUUUGUCUGAGUUUAUAAUUUACCAGAUGACUUUGGAUAAGCACAUAUUUGGAACCUCAGAUAAUUCAUCCAUUCAUUUGCUCAUUCAGAACAGUUCUUGCGCAUCACUUUAUAUUCAGUGCUGCUGAAGUUUCUUUGGGGGCUACACAGGUUAGUAAGGCUUGGUUUUCAUCUCAGGAACCUUAUAGCCAGAACGAGGGAGAGGUGAGUACUAACUCCACAGUGUUAUCCCAGUCGCUACUCAUUUCCCUUACCACCACCCCUUCAAACACUUCAGUGUACUUUCAGCUCUCAAGAAAAAUGCAAACUUUCAUCUGGGCCUAAGAAUCUCUAUAUGAGCUACCCCUGCUCACCUCCGGAGAGGCAUCCCCUUCCACCACCCUCCCUCCUUCUUCUCUUUCCUCAUUGCUUCUUUCAAUGGUCCUGACAGGAUCCCUUUCAGCCACAGGCCCUUAGCAAAUGCUGCUCUCACGGCCCAAGUCAUCUUCCCUGGUUCAUGCCUACUUCGGAUUAAAGUUACCCCUCCGGAGAGUGUUCCCGAUCAAUCUGAAUUGACCAAGUCCUUAUUACACACUCUCGAACUCCAUGAGAUGUCCUUCACAGCUCUCAUCCCAGUUAUAAUUAGUUUGCAUUUAUUUACACAAUGGCUGUAUUAAUGUCUGUAUUCUCCACCAGAAUGAGAGCUUCAUGAGAGCCAGGAUGUGUGUUUUCUCAAAAUCUGCUUUAUUGUGGUCUAAUUUGUGUAUAAUAAACACACCCAUGUUAGGUGUACCUAUCAAUGAAUUUUUAGAAAUUUAUUAAAAAUGUCUAUAUUUGUGUAACCACCA